rnacentral:piRNA from 1 species
UUGUGGGGCUAUUCGCGAAAU